rnacentral:rRNA from 1 species
AUUGAACGCUGGCGGCAGGCCUAACACAUGCAAGUCGAACGAGCGGCGGACGGGUGAGUAAUGUCUGGGAAACUGCCUGAUGGAGGGGGAUAACUACUGGAAACGGUAGCUAAUACCGCAUACCAUCAGAUGUGCCCAGAUGGGAUUCGCUAGUAGGUGGGGUAAGGGCUCACCCAGGCGACGAUCCCUAGCUGGUCUGAGAGGAUGACCAGCCACACUGGAACUGAGACACGUUCCAGACUCCUACGGGAGGCAGCAGUGGGGAAUAUUGCACAAUGGGCGCAAGCCUGAUGCAGCCAUGCCGCGUGUAUGAAGAAGGCCUUCGGGUUGUAAAGCACUUUCAGCGGGGAGGCGUUACUCGCAGAAGAAGCACCGGCUAACUCCGUGCCAGCAGCCGCGGUAAUAC